GCUUCAAUGGAAAACGGAGUACUUACUGUCACUGUUCCUAAAGAGGAAGUCAAGAAACCUGAUGUUAAGGCUAUUGAGAUCUCUGGUUAAGUUUCAGCUUAUAAUGAUGUUAUCUCAAUAUAUAUAUAUAAUGAUAUGCGUGUGAGAAAGUAUGUACCGAAAGAAUGUUUAGUAUUCAUGUUUCAUUUUAAUAAUAUAAUAUAUAAUAAUUCCUGAUUAUCUUUUCUCCUUUGUUGCUUGAUGAAGUAAAUUUUAGCUGUAUAAUUUUGAUAUUACUGAUCUAAGGUCUAAGUGCAUAAUCUGCUGAUUCCAUCAAAUCAUUAAAUUCAAAACAAAAGCACCAGAAGGAAGAAAAGAAAAGUUUUUUCAACGACACAACAGCAAAUCCAAGAAAAGUAUUUUCAACGACACAACAGCAAAUCCAAGAGAUGAUGAUCAACGAAGAGUUCCCACAGGAAUCUUGUAUGUAUACCACUUUGAUAUCAAAA